UUUAGCAAGUUCCUGGUGAAAUCUGGCAGCAAACUGUCAGGCGUGCUGGGAAUACUAUUAAACUUGAGAUUGGGGAGAGGUCAGAGGUAGUCCAUGUGUAGGGGUUAAAUCCUUUAAUCCAUGGAGGACCACCGGUGGCGAAGGCGUCUGACUGGAACAAGUCUGACGGUGAGGGACGAAAGCGUGGGGAGCAAAACGGAUUAGAUACCCGUGUAGUCCACGCUGUAAACGAUGUCCGUUUGAUGUGACAAAUCUUACGUGGAUUUGUUGUGUCGGAGCGUAGUGUUAAGCGGACCACCUGGGGACUACGGCCGCAAGGCUGAAACUUAAGGGAAUUGGCGGGGGAACACACAAGCGGUGGAGACUGCGGUUCAAUUGG
rnacentral:rRNA from 1 species